CCCUUCCCAGUUGCAUUUCAAGGUGCCUAAGUCCCCCUCCAGUCUCGGCGGUCUUCACUGGGGCUCUGCUCUCCCGGAGGCCCUCCUGCUGUCCCCCAUGGCCCUCUCUUUCACACCUCCAGGCCUCCCUGAGAUGACAGCCUUCCUUGGGAAUUCAUCCCCCAUCUGGCUGCUGCGCCGACCCCACACCUGCCCGCCCAGCUUGCACUCUGCCCCUUGCUUAUGUCGCGUCCUCACAAGGCUGCACCUCAAGCUCAGCCCAGCUGACCCCAAACAGCCUCUUCCCUCCAGAACUAUUUACCUCCUCCCUCCGCGCAUCACCACCUUCCGGGCCUGAGUCGGGCACCCGGAGUCCUCUGGAUGCCUCCUCCUCUCUCUACGUGCUGAGUUAUCCUAAAUCUGUUCAGCCUCCAAGACAUAUCCUCUAUCCACCCACUUCCCUGCAUGUCCCCAGGUACCCCUGGUCCAGGCUGGACCACACACCAGAGCCAAUAAAACACUUAAUGUCCCCUAAACUGAGUGAUAGUAUCACACUCACCAGGCCAGAAUGACAGGCACAGAUAAAACCAGCUGCUGCAUUUUACUGCUGCUAAAGCUCACAAGGAACAGUAUUUCUCAAGGACACCCAGCUACAGCUAUAACGUGUCACAACUUAUCACUCUUUUGAGUAAUAACUGUUUUACUUAAGAAGGACUUUACACUUUAAAACCCUAGAUUAGGAGAAAUUUUGCUGUUUGAAAUUCUAUCAGUAAGAAUGAAACUUCCCACUCCCACCAGGAGAACGUAAGUCAGCAUUGGCAGAGAAGAGCCUGGGUGUCCAAGCCAGGUGCAGAGCUCCAGGUGUGCGUCUGGACAUGACAUGCCACAACAGUCUUAACUCUGUGGUUCCCAAGGAAGACAGGAACCAGGUCCACUUUGUAGCCCAGACCUGGUGUUGGCCGUGCAUGGUCCCGCUUGGCUCUGAGCAUGUCAAAACACUGCUCCUUUUAAAUUCCACCCCAACCCCACCUUCCACACAAUCCUAGGAAGCGCCCUCUUUCCCUAUCAGGUGAGCUGCCCAGCAUCCUGGUGCUACCGGGUGGCAAACCUGAUGUGUCAGACUACAGGUUGGCCCGAUGGUCAGGCUCGUGGGGCUAGGACAACUGUGAGGUCCAACAGGGCAACAGUGGUGCUUGUCUGCCGGUUCGCAGGUACGCAGGGGGCACCUGCUACGUGCAGACGGAGGCACCGCAGCAGGGGGUUCAGAGUCCCCUGUGCUUCGGCAUCAGCCCCCCUGUGGAAUGAGUGGGGCAGUGCCGAUUACACUAAAGGGAGGGGAUGGGGCUGUGGAUGAGGGAUUUGGGAAAGAUAAAGGAAAAAGAGAAUGAGGGCAGCGAGAGACUCUAGUGGGGACAUAGGUGGGAGGGCCACUGCUGCCCCCUGCCUCCGUGUGCUCGCGCCUGCCGGAAACCGGCUCAGUAACCUCCGAGGCCAGGGCUGCUCUUUAUCAUCGUGAACCUGUGAUUCUAAGCAACACCAGGGAUGUAAUGCCCCCUGAAAAAGCAGUCUACUAGCCCAGGCACUAAACCUGGGGGUUGCAGAUUUUUCUGGGGAAGGCCAGGUAGUAAAUAUUUCAGAUUUUUCUCUCCACAAGGUCUGUAUUACAGCCACUCAACUCUGCUGUCCUAGAACAAAAGCAGCACAGACAAUAUAUAAACAACUGAACCUGGUUGCCUUCCCCAUGACUUUACUGAUGGACCCUCGUUUGAAUUUCACAUAAUUUUCAUGUCAGGAAAUACUCUUCUUGUGAUUUUUACCCUCCAACCAUUAAAAAUGUGAAAAAUUA